AGGGCACCACCAGGAGUGGAGCCUGCGGCUUAAUUUGACUCAACACGGGGAAACUCACCAGGUCCAGACACAAUAAGGAUUGACAGAUUGAGAGCUCUUUCUUGAUUUUGUGGGUGGUGGUGCAUGGCCGUUCUUAGUUGGUGGAGUGAUUUGUCUGCUUAAUUGCGAUAACGAACGAGACCUUAACCUACUAAAUAGUGCUGCUAGCAUUUGCUGGUUUGUCACUUCUUAGAGGGACUAUCGGUUUCAAGCCGAUGGAAGUUUGAGGCA
rnacentral:rRNA from 1 species